ensembl:lncRNA
CAGCGUGGUAAGUGUUCGUCAUUUUAUUAAACUGAACUGAACACUACAAUACAAAGUAAACAAAAAGAACAACCGAAACAGUUCCGUCUGGUAACUAAAACAAAGACAGAAAACAACUACCCACAACCCAUAGUGGGAAAACAGGAUGCCUAAGUAUGGUUCUCAAUCAGCGACAACGAUAAACAGCUGCCUCUGAUUGGAAACCAUACCAGGCCAAACACAGAAAUACAUAGAACAACACAUAGAAUGCCCACGCCUACUCACGCCCUGACCAAACUAAAAUAGAGAAAUAAAAAAGGAACUAAGGUCAGGACGUGACACACUGGUUAAUUUCGUGGGAGUGCGCCUACACCCGGCAUCUUUGAAUUUGGACCUGGUUCCCGCCACUCACACUUGUUUCAUAUCUCAUACCUUUCCCCGAGAACCUAAUCGAGUAAGUGUUUGUCAGUGUUUGUGAGAUUUUGAUUCCGCCAGUAUUGCUUAGAUGCUAUAGUGAUGCUGAGGAUGUGUGAUCCAAGGUGUGAAGUUUGCCAUAGAUGGUGUUGGAGCAAGUUUUAUGGAUGAAGACAAAACAGUAAAAAAGUGGAUUGGUCCUUCGAGCCGAAUGUACUAACUUUGUAUUUCAUAUUUUAGCAGAGGAACAAAAGUAAAGAUGUAGAAGCACUGACUUACAAUAAUCACUGUUCCAAUUAAUCUAAACUCUAUUACAUUCUGACACAACUUUUUGAGUGCACUUAAAUAAUGUAAUGAUUGUAGCAGUCUUUGAGUUGCUUGCUUACAGCUGAGGGCAAUAAGAUCUCAUCAACUCACUGCAUUAUUAGACGUUUGUCCAACAUGCCUAUAACGUCAGAUUUGGACUUUGACAGAGAUAUGGAAUUAUAACUUGAGUGAUUUAUCUUGUCAAAAUCCUGACUUUAGCCGUCAUAUAACCAAACCAACCAAAAACAAAAAUAGCCGCUUUUCACAUGGGGCUUGAACUAGCGAUGUUCAGGUUACACCACCUUCCAAAACAAAUCUAGCCAAAAACAAUGAAUAUAGGGACAAAAUAACACCAAAUUCCUGUACAUGCAAAUGUGUUUGGUAAAUACAAAACAAAAAAAAUCUAUUACCAGCCCAGGCGUUUAUUUGCUUAAAUCACUGAACACAACAGGCGUAGAGACAGCCUUCCAUUUGAGCCAGGUGUCUACUUCCUUAAUGCACAAAGCUUUUUGGUCACGUAUACUCCCUCUCCGGCCUCUAGGUCAUCAGGCUGCUGAUUAUCCCGCACACCUGUCACCAUCGUCAAGCGCACCAGCGCCUCAUGACACUCACCUGGACUCCAUCACCUCCUUGAUUAUCUUCCCUAUAUCUGUCACUCCCCUUGGUUCUUUCCUCAGGUGUAAUUGCGUUGUUUGUGUUUCAUGUUUAUUGGUUUGUUUAUUUAUUAAAACACUCACUCCCUGUACUUGCUUCCUGACUCUCAGCGCACUCGUUACACAAUUGUUAAUUGUUUAAUUCCAACAUCCACUUCCAGCAUUUUAGUCAAUUUAUUAAUUUCCUGCACCAUGUGUAAUAAUUUUCACACUGUCACUUUAUAAAAACAUUUAAAAACUUUUCCUUGACAGAAUAAUUAUUAUCCUCUUUUGACUGUGCCCUUUUAACCCGUUCUUACUAUAGGACGAUAUUACAGUUUUUAGGGGUCGGUACUCCUGAACUUGUUGACUGUUUUUGUACUUGCCGGUUAGCUAGCAGUUGUUAGCUGCUAAUGGCUAGCAGUUUCUUACUGGCGAUACAAACGCAUGAUUGACAUAAUUUAUUGAGUCAUUACUGAAUUAUUUAAUGUAACAAAUCAAACAUUAAACCUCAAACAAUUCAUGGUACCCUUGUAAACAAUUCAUUUAGACCAGGCGUUUAUUUUUACCUGAAAUGUGUGACAUUGUCCGGCUAUUAAAAGGGACAGGCGGCUAUUUGAGACUACGCGUUUUUGAAGUUUUAAGGUAAAGCUGAUUCUGAGAUUACUAAACACUUGUGAUGUUCUGUCUUAUUAGUAAUCACUUUUUGUCCCUUCUGAGGUGUUUGCUAGCGGCAGUACAUCCAGGCCCCUCUCAUCACAGAUACUAGUCAUGAAGGAGUCUGACUUAAAGAUCCAACCCAGCUCC